rnacentral:rRNA from 1 species
AUGGUUCUUGACUAUGCACACUUUGGCGAUGUUGUCACAUUUGAUACCACUUUUGGCACAAACAAAGAAUAUAGGCCAUUUGGUGUUUUUCUUGGACUGAAUCAGUUUAGAGAAACCACCAUUUUUGGUGCUGCAUUACUAGUUGAUGAAACAUGUGACUCAUUUAAAGUUGCUGCAUCAAAAAACAAAAGAGCAAAGCAACAAAAGAAACAUGAUGGGGCGAAGCCUCAAGUAGGAGUGGAGAAGGAUGGCUGCGAUAAAGCAGCAAGUAUGGAGUUUCAAGACUACAACAACAUAAUGAGUUACACGCAGCUCUUGACGGCUACCCGUUAUGAUGAAAGUCUGUUCUAG